GAGCUAUGAGGACAAACUUAGGACACCUUUGGAGGGUUAACCUCAAUGAAAGGACACUAUAGCCUUACUGAGCUCU
rnacentral:snoRNA from 1 species